UACGAAGGGGGCAAGCGUUAAUCGGAAUUACUGGGCGUAAAGCGUGCGCAGGCGGUGAUGUAAGACAGUUGUGAAAUCCCCGGGCUCAACCUGGGAACUGCAUCUGUGACUGCAUCGCUGGAGUGCGGCAGAGGGGGAUGGAAUUCCGCGUGUAGCAGUGAAAUGCGUAGAUAUGCGGAGGAACACCGAUGGCGAAGGCAAUCCCCUGGACCUGUACUGACGCUCAUGCACGAAAGCGUGGGGAGCAAACAGG
rnacentral:rRNA from 1 species